CCAACUCGUCACAUACUGACGCUUUGUCAGACCCCUUGGCGUCACUUUUUCCUCGAAGUAAACACGUGCUUUAUGUUGUGAAUCAAACAAAAGCACUUGCUUAGUUUUAGG